GUACCAACUUGUCACCUUAUGUGUGCUAGCCUCUUGAACACGUAGGCUCAUGCUGACCUAACCCCUCCCAGGCCAAGAGGCAUAAGGCCCACACCGCCUCCACACUACAAAACUUAAGCCAACUUACUUCAUCAUAGGAGGCAAUGGGCCAAGAAGGCAACACAACAGGCUAUGCAACACCUCUCCUCUAUCACAGAUAAACAUAAUAGCCUGCAACUCACCAUUUUACACUAUAAAAAAUGUGCUGUGCUUUUACUGCCAUGCCGUUGUUUGUGUUAUAUUGAACUAUAUAUGCUUGCUUCUGCUGUCAUGGCAGCGCAUGUGAUGUUGUUAUACCAUGCACAACAAAAAUUAAAAAAAAUCCAAGUAAUCUUUAUUGAAUUAACAUUUUACACAUUUGGCAGAAUCUUGAGUAGGGUUUAGACUC